rnacentral:rRNA from 1 species
UGGGGAAUCUUGCGCAAUGGGCGAAAGCCUGACGCAGCGACGCCGCGUGCGGGAAGAAGGCCUUCGGGUUGUAAACCGCUUUCAGGAGGGACGAAGCCACUCGGGUUAAUAGCCCAGAGGGUGACGGUACCUCCAGAAGAAGCCCCGGCUAACUACGUGCCCGCAGCCGCGGUAAUACGUAGGGGGCUAGCGUUGUCCGGAUUUAUUGGGCGUAAAGAGCGUGUAGGCGGCCAAGUAGGUCCGUUGUGAAAACUGGAGGCUUAACCUCCGGCUGUCGAUGGAAACCAUUUGGCUAGAGUCCGGAAGAGGAGAGUGGAAUUCCUGGUGUAGCGGUGAAAUGCGCAGAUAUCAGGAAGAACACCCGUGGCGAAGGCGGCUCUCUGGGACGGUACUGACGCUGAGACGCGAAAGCGUGGGGAGCGAAC